UCGAGGAUCUUCGGCAAUGAGCGAAAGCUUGACCGAGCGACACCGCGUGCGGGAUGAAGGCCUUCGGGUUGUAAACCUCUUUCGUAGGGGAGGAAAUUUCGGUGGGAUCACUCAUCGAUUUGACCUAGCCUAGGAAGAAAGACGGGCUAAGUUCGUGCCAGCAGCCGCGGUAAUACGAACCGUCCAAACGUUAUUCGGAAUUACUGGGCUUAAAGGGUGCGUAGGCGGCCCGGGAAGUUGGGUGUGAAAGCCCUCGGCUCAACCGAGGAACUGCGCCCAAAACUGCCGGGCUCGAGGGAGAUAGAGGUGAGCGGAACUUAGGGUGGAGCGGUGAAAUGCGUUGAUAUCCUAAGGAACACCGGUGGCGAAAGCGGCUCACUGGGUCUCUUCUGACGCUGAGGCACGAAAGCUAGGGUAGCGAACGG
rnacentral:rRNA from 1 species